rnacentral:rRNA from 1 species
UACGGAGGGGGCUAGCGUUGUUCGGAAUUACUGGGCGUAAAGGGCGCGUAGGCGGUUCGAUAAGUCCCGUGUGAAAUCCCUCGGCUCAACUGAGGAAUGGCACGGGAAACUGACGGGCUUGAGUUCGGGAGAGGGAAGCGGAAUUCCGGGUGUAGCGGUGAAAUGCGUAGAUAUCCGGAGGAACACCGGUGGCGAAGGCGGCUUCCUGGACCGACACUGACGCUGAGGCGCGAAAGCUAGGGGAGCAAACGGG